rnacentral:rRNA from 1 species
UACGUAGGGCGCAAGCGUUGUCCGGAAUUAUUGGGCGUAAAGAGCUCGUAGGCGGUCUGUCGAGUCGCUCGUGAAAACUUGGGGCUUAACCCUGAGCUUGCGGUCGAUACGGGCAUGACUGGAGUUCGGCAGGGGAGACUGGAAUUCCUGGUGUAGCGGUGAAAUGCGCAGAUAUCGGAGGAACACCGGUGGCGAAGGCGGGUCUCUGGGCCGAUACUGACGCUGAGGAGCGAAAGCGUGGGGAGCGAACAGG